rnacentral:rRNA from 1 species
AUUGAACGCUGGCGGCAUGCCUUACACAUGCAAGUCGAACGGCAGCACGGGGGCAACCCUGGUGGCGAGUGGCGAACGGGUGAGUAAUGCAUCGGAACGUGCCCGGAAGUGGGGGAUAACGUAGCGAAAGUUACGCUAAUACCGCAUAUUCUGUGAGCAGGAAAGCAGGGGAUCGCAAGACCUUGCGCUUUCGGAGCGGCCGAUGUCGGAUUAGCUAGUUGGUGAGGUAAAGGCUUACCAAGGCGACGAUCCGUAGCUGGUCUUAGAGGAUGAUCAGCCCACUGGGACUGAGACACGGCCCAGACUCCUACGGGAGGCAGCAGUGGGGAAUUUUGGACAAUGGGGGGCAACCCUGAUCCAGCCAUGCCGCGUGAGUGAAGAAGGCC